UAUUGUGUGCAGGAAAAAAAACUAUUUAAUCCGUUUUGAGAAUAAGCCUGUAACCUAACAAACUGUGGAAAAAGCCAAGGGGUCUGAAUACUUUCCGAAUGCACUGUAUGUACAUGAAGGCAGGCUAUAGUGACUAGGCAUGAGGAUAGAUAAUAGUAAGAGUAAAAUAAAGAACAGAGUAUCAGCAGCAAAUUAUGAGUAUAAAACUUUGUGAGUGUGCGCGUGUAUGUGUGUUUGUGCUGUGUGUAUGUAGUGUAUGCGAAUGUAUGUGAGUCCCUCUUAAGAGACUGGCCAAUUUGGAACUGUUACAAGGAGUCAAUUGGUUCGUUUGAGCAUUCCUCCAGUUUCUGCCCUUAUCUUAUUCAUUUGUAUGGCUGUUGUCUAAUUAUUGUGUCUUUCUGUGAUUGUGCGUGUGUAUAUUCUGGAUAUAGAUAGAGACCGAUUAAGGGCAUUAUGCCUCAAUGGUGACCACUUUCAUUCAAACUGGAAGCGACAUAACGAGACUGCUAAUUUCUGAACCUUUACCGGAAACUUUAGGAUGACUGCACAGUCCCAACACAGUGUGGUAUGUGUGUCUUAAAUUCAUUGUUUCUACACUGUGAACAACAGUCUCUUCCACUGAGAACACAAUGGAAGUGGGAUUUCCCUUCCCGGGAUGCUUCCUGGCCUCCAAUAUUCUGUCAGCUGAGUGUGGUGUGAGUGAGAGAGAGAGAGACACUAAUGGAAGAUGUUUUGAAGUUAAAAAUGAUGUCAAAGGGGUUACAGUUAACAGAGGGGAAAUUAAUAAGGACCAUGAACCCGUGUCUGUUUUUCUCCCAUAUGCUUAUCACAAGCAGCGAUGUGAUGUAUAGUAGUAUAAUAUGCAAUAUUAGCUCCAGAGUAUUGCAAUGAAUGAUAUAUUUUCACUUUAAGAGGAGACUGUUGUCCUGCUCUGCCUCAUGUGUCCGUAUUCCGCACCUAACCUCACCCUAACCCAUACAAAUGAGCAGGCUUGGGUUGGAGCCUGGUGUCACUGUAAAGUCACCAAACUGUUUCUCAUACAGUAUAAGAAGGGUAAAGGACUGGGAAAUUGUAGCAAUACUUACAGCACUCCUGCUAACGACUUGUUUAUUGCAAUAAAUAAAUGAUAUGUGUAUAAAUAUAUUAAAUGUUAUUUAGGAGAACUGUAUUGAAUCAUUACUGUAAAUGUAGACUGUUUUAUCGAUGUGAGCAAAAGAGCUUCCUUAUUGUAAAAAAAAAACAUUGUGUAGAUGAAUAAAUUAUUAGAAAAUGACUGGGGUGGUGAUGCUGUACAGUAUUUUCAUAGAAAUGCUAUUGUAUACUGAUUGUUAAGUUAUUAUGUCUGACCAGGGCCGAGUGAGCUUUGACUCCAAAUGAAUUUGAACAAAAAAUAGGUAUAUAGAAGCAAACUGACACAGAGAUUCUGUGCUGUGAAAACUCGGAACGGACCAUAAUUGAGUAACAGAUGCGUCAUGGAACAGAAAACACACUGCUAUGCAGCACGUAUGAUGUCACUGGGGUUUACCAAUGAUACGAUUAGAGGAAGCUCAAGAGUUUAAAGAGAGAAGGAACCAGUUGAGUGACAGACAAACUAUGAAAAGACUGUGUGACAGAGAAACAGAACAUCCACGACACAUAGAAGAACCAAAGAACAAGAUCAUGCACAGAGAGACAAAGACUCCAUGACAAACUUCAGAACUGAGGAUGCUGAAGAACAUCACAGGUGACAUGGGGAAUGGCUCCUUCUCCUGCCACCACUUCUCGUUUGAGGCCUUCCUCUGCUUUGGCGUGCUGUGGAAUUCUGCUGUGACCAUAGUUGGGACGGUGGGGAACGUGAUGACCAUUCUGUCCGGCUGCGGACUCGUUUCAACUCGCUGAUCGUGAACCUGGGCCUGGCAGACCUACUGUACUGAACCCUGCUGCAGCCUGCCUGUGUUGACUCCUACCUACACCUCCGCUGGAGGGGCGGCGUCUUCGGCCUCCUCCUCUUCCUCUCCAACUCCGUCUCCAUCAUCACAUUGUAUCUGAUCAAGGCAAGCCGCUACCUGCUGGUGGCGAGGCGGUGUGCACCUGCAGUUUCCACCGAACCAGGGGGCGCCCUUACGCCACCGUGCUGCUCUUCUAAUACAUAUUCAUAUUCGGGUCAGGGUGGCAGCAAGGGCACCGGUCAGCUACUGACUCAGCUGACGCUUAUCACGAAGGAAGCCGACCUCAUCAGAACCAGGGAUGGAGAGGGGCAGUGGCGUCGGGAGCGGGGUGGCCACCUCCCAGAGCUGUGAGUUGAACAGCCAGGGGGAACUACCCCAAUACAAGGGUGGAGAGGUGAAGGGGAACCCUGGGAAAGCCCAGUCCUCCCACUCCACCUGGGGGUCUGCUUUAACUUCACAUUCAGCUCACCUAGCAGGGGGACAGGAGCCCCCCCUGCCCUUAGCCCUGCGCUCCACUUUGCUGCUCCUGCCCCUAUCACUGCCCCCUCCUCCUCCACCACCUCUUCAGGGGACAAUGGUGAGUUAUCUUCCAGUGUUUCGUAUGCUGUUUUGUCUGCUAAACAUUGCUGAUACGCAGAACCGCACCCUCCAAGGUGCUCCACAUGUUCUGUGCCAACCUCGCCUGCUCUACACUGUCUUGAACCGCCAGUUUGGACAGACCUACCAGGCCCUACUGGCCAGGGCCACCACACCCCUCACACACCUCUGGAAUCACUGACCUUUAUUACAUUUUGGUAGUUUAGGAGGGGCUCUUAUUCAAAGGGAUUAAUGUUGCAUUCAAGAAAACUGGGAACUCAAUGUGAAAUCAUGACGACAGUAAUCUUCAGGUCCGGAAGUCAGAGCUCUAGAAAGAGGCCCGAGCUCCCGACUUGGAAUUCCGAGUUGGAUGACUGUUCAAAAAUAUUUUUCCCAGUCGUCUUGAACGCACUGAAGUCGGAAGUCUGAGAUUUCUGAGUUCCGAGUUAUUCUGAAAGCGGCAUUAUAGUGCAUUCGACUAAACUGAGUAAGACAACCAUAACGUAAUUAUCACAGCACUUCAAAUAGGGAAAACACUCUUCUCCCCCAUUGGUCUUGAUAGAGCUACUUCCUCCUCUAUAAAUUCCUCUCCUCCUUCCGGAAUGUCACAUUUACUGUCAGCUUGCAAGGGCAAAAUCAGCCAUUCUGUGAUUUCUUCUGGAAAGGGUUCAACGAUUUUAGGCUAAGAUUUUGCUCACAAGGCUUCUUUUUUUUCAGUUACAAACACCAACGUACACUUACUGUAAGGCCUUAGUUCUAAUAUAAUAAAUGGCUUUCAAAGCUCAAAGUUCACCUCUAUCAUGUACUGUAGUCAUACAAUAUGAUCAAAACGCAUAAGGUCAUAUAUUUCUUUCAGCAGGAAGCCAGAAGCCACCAACGGGGAGAUAUCACUGUAUCAAGACCUGGGGGUGUUAAUUAUGCAAAGAACUACAUCCUCCUCUACAUCUUGUUUAUUUGUGUCAUUGUCUCUUGGUCUGUUUAUAAUAAAACAAAUCUGUACUUUCAUUACUUCUAGUACCUUUCUUUCACUGGACACAUAGGACAUUCCCUUUUUACACAUGGGAAAAUUCUGCCCACCAUAAAUCAGAACUUCUGGAAUGUCCCUUUUUUCAAGUUACA